rnacentral:rRNA from 1 species
CGCGAAGGCAAGCGGAUCUCUUAAAGCUGUUCUCAGUUCGGACUGCAGUCUGCAACUCGACUGCACGAAGCUGGAAUCGCUAGUAAUCGCGGAUCAGCACGCCGCGGUGAAUACGUUCCCGGGCCUUGUACACACCGCCCGUCACACCAUGGAAGUCUGCAAUGCCCGAAGCCGGUGGCUUAACCACUUAUGUGGAAGGAGCCGUCUAAGGCAGGGCAGAUGACUGGGGUGAAGUCGUAACAAGGUAUC